rnacentral:rRNA from 1 species
UAAGGAAUAUUGCUCAAUGGGAGAAAUCCUGAAGCAGCAACGCCGCGUGGAGGAUGAAGGGUCUAUGACUUGUAAACUCCUGUAAAGAAGGAAAAAAUUCCCAUUUGAUGGGAGAUGAUGGUACUUCUGGAGUAAGCCCCGGCUAACUACGUGCCAGCAGCCGCGGUAAUACGUAGGGGGCAAGCGUUGUCCGGAUUUACUGGGUGUAAAGGGUGCUCAGGCGGAUUUGUAAGUCAGAGGUGAAAUCUUACAGCUUAACUGUGAAACUGCCUUUGAUACUGCAAGCCUAGAGUAUGGUAGAGAGUGAUGGAAUAUCUGGUUUAGCAGUGAAAUGCGUAGGUAUCAGAUAGAACACCCAUGGCGAAGGCAGUCACUUGGUCCAUUACUGACGCUAAAGCACGAAAGCGUGGGUAGCAAACA